UUAGUUAAAAAUUUGACCGGC
rnacentral:piRNA from 1 species